GCGGGUGUAAUUCAAUGGUAGAAUAUUAGCCUUCCAAGCUAGAUGCAUGGGUUCGAUUCCCAUUACCCGCUCCA
rnacentral:tRNA from 1 species